rnacentral:snoRNA from 1 species
AACUUCCAGAUUCCUUACUCCUCAGAUCUUAAUCUGAGUGGCUGAAAAAGGAGGAAGAGUAAAACUGAAGUGGACCUGGAAUCAUUAGUGAAAUACAAGUUCAUUUUCAACAUUA